rnacentral:rRNA from 1 species
UACGAAGGGAGCGAGCGUUGUUCGGAAUCACUGGGCUUAAAGCGUGCGUAGGUGGCUUGGUAAGUAAGGCGUGAAAUCCCAGGGCUUAACCCUGGAACUGCUCUUUAGACUGCCUGUCUGGAAUUCGGAAGAGGUUGGUGGAACUCCCAGUGUAGAGGUGAAAUUCGCAGAUAUUGGGAAGAACACCGGUGGCGAAGGCGACCAACUGGUCCGACAUUGACACUGAGGCACGAAAGCGUGGGUAGCAAACAGG